rnacentral:tRNA from 1 species
GGCUCUGCGGCGCAAUGGAUAGCGCAUUGGACUUCUAGGCUGUGAGCUGAGCCAUUCAAAGGUUGUGGCUUCGAGUCCCACCAGAGUCG